GUUCGGAAGUUUGGUCGAAAAUAUGAAAGAGUUUUCACUUUGAAGAAGUGCAAGGAUCUCUUGCAGUCAAGAAACAGUUUGUUGAAUAUACCAUCAAGGAAGCUGAAAGGUUUAAAAGAGGAGUCUUAAUUCAGCAACUUGAGAAGGUCCUAGAAAAAAUAGAAUCCUGCCACCAUCUCAAGAAAGUUAAUGAUCAGAAAAGUAAAUAAUUGUGUUCUUGUAAAGACCACUGAGAAGCAAGGAUGAAUUUUCUAUGCUGUAUGCUGCAAUGAGAUACUUCUUAAGCCCUCCUAAAAUGUAGUCAAGAAAAUUAUAGUCAAGAAAAGGAUAAGCAAAAAGGCAGUGGAGCCUUUUAGUUUUAUGGUUCUUUGUCAGUAAAAGAUGGG
rnacentral:lncRNA from 1 species